GGGGAGAGACGAAAGGAGAGAGAACAGAGCGGGCGCUCCGUGUAUCGUCCGGCUACAGCUCCAGAUACGAGAAACAACCGCUCGCUUGCAGCCCGAUGCUGGCGCUAGCGCCGGCGCUGCUGAUCCGGUGCGUCUCCCUCGUCUCCCGCGCGCCAAUUCCUUUCUCCCUCGUCCCAAAUCGCUCCUUGCGCGCCUUAAUCGAAGAAGGCCCUAAAUCCCCUUCAGAACCGAUGCUCCAAAUCUCCCCCAGAUCCCACCUCCCGAACCAUUGAUUUGCCGCCGCCGGAUCCUCUGGAGUUCCCUCCGCCGGCGCCUUAUCUCGUCCGGCCGGCAGGGCCUCAGCUCGUCCUGCCCACCGGUGCCCCAGUUCGUCCCGUCGUCGACCUUCCCUUCCACACAGGGUCUUGGAUCUUCACUAGUACUAGCAUAGUCCAUGGCCGCCUCCUCUUCUACACCAUGUUAGCCCGCCAGGCUGCAGCAACCAAGUGCAGCAGGUGCUCGGGCUCAAGGCCCUUGGUGGAUCCGCGUCUCCUUGGUUCAGGCAUUGAAAUUUGGCUGACUCGAUGUGGAAGUAUGGUAUGAUUUCUUAAUUCCUUAUGCAUCUACAUCUACAGUUCACUUGCUAGUACAGGUAUGCAUUUUCUAAUCCAACCUUGUUUUGUUUAUCAACUAAUUAAAGAGCACCCUACUGUAUUGUUCAGUAAAAUGUAAUGUAUAGCUGCUUAUUUACGUUGUUUUUGUUUCCUUUUCCCAUACAGUCUUGAAGUAUAUUGAUGCAAAUGGACGGUCGCUCAGUAAAAUGUAAUGUAUAGCUGCUUAUUUACGUUGUUUUUGUUUCCUUUUCCCAUACAGUCUUGAAGUAUAUUGAUGCAAAUGGACGGUCGCUCAGUAAAAUUCUUGAAGUAUAUUGAUGCAAAUGGACGGUCGCUCCUUUCUACAAAGUUUCAACUAUACUUUGUGACUUUCUGUGUGUGCUCUAGAUCAAAACUAAUGGCUUGUUCGCCUAAGAUCAUAUUUGGUACUAUGUUUGGUUGAUGACUUCUGAUAGACUCAUGUAUAAUGUUUAAGUGUCGAGAAUGUGAUGGUGCUAUGUUCCACCCGUUUGUUGCUUAUUGUUUGUCUAGAUCGAAAUUAACGGCUCGUUUGCCGAAGAUCUUAUUUGUUAUGUAAUGUUUAAAUGUGGUCUGAAUAUUAAUCAGUUUGUCUCGUCA